CCUACGGUGUGCAGCAGUGGGGAAUAUUGCGCAAUGGGCGAAAGCCUGACGCAGCGACGCCGCGUGAGGGAUGAAGGUCUUCGGAUCGUAAACCUCUGUCCGCAGGGAAGAACGGUCACUGUGCUAAUCAGCAGUGAAUUGACGGUACCUGCUAUGGAAGCACCGGCUAACUCCGUGCCAGCAGCCGCGGUAUUACGGAGGGUGCGAGCGUUAAUCGGAAUUACUGGGCGUAAAGCGUUCGUAGGCGGGAUGUCAAGUCAAGGGUGAAUUCCCCGCGCUCAACGUGGGAACGGCGUUUGAUACUGGCAAACUGGAGUGUGUGAGAGGAUAGUGGAAUUCCAGGUGUAGGAGUGAAAUCCGUAGAUAUCUGGAGGAACAUCAGUGGCGAAUGCGAGUAUCUGGCACAUAACUGACGCUGAGGAGCGAAGGCGAGGGUAGCAAACAGGAUUAGAUACCCGAGUAGUC
rnacentral:rRNA from 1 species